CUAAAAUAAUCCCGAGAUCCGUUCAGCGGAUGUCGAACGCAAGUGAGAAAACCGCUUUUAAUCGUGUUUGAUCGGUUUUUAUUGAGGGGUCGAUUUUUAAUCUAUCGAUAUCUUAACCAAAAUUAAUUAAAAGAGUCAUAGAGAAGAUGUGUCGUCUGCUCUCGCUUUGUUAACACGUUUCGAAAAAGUGGCGAGGUGAUUAGUGAUUAGUCAUUAGUGAAUGAUAUUGAUAACUAUAGUGGACAAACUUAUCAUUUUUUUUUAAACGUGGCUGCACGAAAAGAAGCACAAAAAAUAGAAUGACAAAAAAUUUGGUCGUCGUGUGAACAAGGUAACUCUUUAUGGAAUCGCUUAACUCACACUCCAUGCAAUGUUAAGCAGAUGCAGAUUUGGAGGCAGCCAUCGCAACCACUAGAUAUGCAAGUUUUUCUGGUGCUGAUACUGACCUGUCACAGCAAAAAUCCAAAUAAACAGCAUCCCAUCUGAUUGAUGGGAGAAACUACCGAUGCCAGCCGAGUUACGGAUUACCGUGGAUCUCUUCUUCCCCUUUCUUGAAAUCCUCUCUGUCCUCGUGUACGCCCAUGUGAAUGUGGGGGUAUUCACGAGUCUGAGACUCUUUUUCCUAUCCUGCCUGGUGUCUUCCAACUAUUCUGCGGAUGGAGCACUUGCGGAAUGCCUGGCUGUAUUUCCCAGGCAUAAAGAUUUGAGACCAGAGCCAGUCAUCAAAGCAACACAAUAUCCAAAAUUUGCUUGUGCUGUUAUUGCAUAACAACCUGUCAUCAGCAACAAUCUCAGAAUCAUCGUGUGGGUAAUAAUUUGUGUUACUUUUAUUCCUGUGACAGUCUGCUAGAUCUUU
rnacentral:lncRNA from 1 species